CUGCUUUCCUCGGUUCUGUCAGCAGGGAGGGCGUUGAACUCUCGCGGGACAAUCACCGCCGAGCCGCUCACGCCCCAGAUCACACAGGGUCUCCACACGCAGCCUGCCGCCGCCAUCUUGAAUGGUGGUGUCCUGGGCAGCGCUUCCACACACGGCUGGAGUUGAAGUAUUUGUUGAGCAUAGCAGUUUCGCCUUAGGAACACUGGUCUGAAGUGCUGGUGACAGAGUGUCUGCAAGCCACAUCCUGUGAAUAAAUGAAACUCGACCAAGCAUCAAGGAAAAAGAAAAAAGUUUAGACUUUUAUCACCUAGAUUCUAUUUUUAUUUCCUGGGAAUUGUAAAUGGACUUUGUCCGAGACCUUGAUGGACCAGUUAACCAACUUGUUGUGAUGAGGAGGAAUGUUAUGGUGGUUUAAACUUUAUUUUCUGAGCCUGGCCUAUCCCUGGAGUGGAGGACAUGCUGUCCAGAACUGCUAUUAUGUGCUCAUACUUUAUGAUCAGAGUGGAAAAGGCACUUUCAUGCUAUCUUUACCUUGAAAAAUUCCAAGGAAUCACUGUGACUGACUGGUCACUGGUCCAGGUUAAGCAUUUUCUCUUGAGAUUUUGUUCGAACUUUAAAUUUGCCAAGCAAAAGAAUUUUGAAGAAACUAAUGCUGAGUGAAGCCAUAAGGUUAAAAAAUCGAACUAGGCAUACAUGGGAAUGACAGCAGAUGUGAGGAGAUGAGGAUGCGAUGAAAACAGAAGCAUCACACACACAGACUGGAACUUAGAGUAUGCCUUUGGAAGAUAAAAAAGCACUGUAGCUUUGGAGAGAGCAUAAUUCAAAGAACUGAAGCUCCAGCGGAAGUAAUUAACGAAAGAUACUAUUCUCCAGCAUCCCUAACUCAUGUUUGCACGAUAUGGCACCAGGCUGGAAUUUGGAGCCCUUCACUGUUAUCUUAAGCAUCAGUCACUCAGUCGUGUCCGA